UCUAUUUUUAGUAUUGGAGAUUUUGUUACUUUGAGUAAAUUAGAGUGUUCAAAGCAAACAGUUAAAGCAUUUUUACUGCGUUUGAAUACUACAGCAUGGAAUAACAAAAUUGAACAAGUCAGAAUUCUGUUCUUUUUUCUUAUUUUGGCUUAGUUACGAUUAAUAGGAGUAGCUUGGGGGCAUUUGUAUUCAGAUGUCAGAGGUGAAAUUCUUAGAUUUUCUGGAGACAAACAACUGCGAAAGCAUUUGCCUAAUAUAUUUCCAUUAAUCAAGAACGAAAGUUAAGGGAGUGAAGACGAUCAGAUACCGUCGUAAUCUUAACCAUAAACUAUACCAACUAGGUUUUGGAUGAAAAGUUUCUAAAUAAGAGAAUUCCUUUCGGGGAAAUUUCUUAGAUUGCUUCUUUCAGUACCUUAUGAGAAAUCAAAGUCUUUGGGUUCUGGGGCGAGUAUUCGCGCAAGCGAGAAAGUUAAAAGAAUUGACGGAAGGGCACCACCAGGCGUGGAGCUUGCGGCUUAAUUUGACUCAACACGGGGAAACUCACUAGUUUAAGACAAGAGUAGGAUUGACAGAUUAAUAGCUCUUUCUUGAUUUCUUGGAUGGUGAUGCAUGGCCGUUUUUAGUUUGUGAAUAUGAUUUGUCUGGUUAAUUCCGAUAACGAACGAGAUCUUAACCUGCUAAUUAGCGGCGAAUACGUUAUAUUCUUAUGUGAAAUUGAAUAUAGCUGAAUUUGCUUAUUUUGAAGAAUACACUAGGAUACAAUUAAUGGUCCCCUUUU
rnacentral:rRNA from 1 species